rnacentral:rRNA from 1 species
GAUGAACGCUAGCGGCAGGCUUAACACAUGCAAGUCGAGGGGCAGCACGGGUAGCAAUACCUGGUGGCGACCGGCGCAAGGGUGCGUAACGCGUGAGCAACAUGCCCUAUACAGGGGGAUAAUCCAGGGAAACUUGGUCUAAUAUCCCAUAGUAUUUAGAGGAGGCAUCUUCUAUAAAUUAAAGCUUCGGUGGUAUAGGAUUGGCUCGCGUGACAUUAGCUAGAUGGUGAGGUAACGGCUCACCAUGGCAAUGAUGUCUAGGGGUUCUGAGAGGAAGGCCCCCCACACUGGGACUGAGACACGGCCCAGACUCCUACGGGAGGCAGCAGUGAGGAAUAUUGGACAAUGGAUGGAAAUCUGAUCCAGCCAUGCCGCGUGCAGGAAGACAGCCCUAUGGGUUGUAAACUGCUUUUAUAUGGGAGCAAUAAGGUCUACGUGUAGACUGAUGAGAGUACCAUAUGAAUAAGCAUC